rnacentral:lncRNA from 1 species
AUAUCAGAUAGGGCAAGGCUUAUAAAAGCCACUAAAGUCACCCCCCCCCUUGCUUCCUCCCAGGCACAUAAGAAUUCAUCUCGCGAUGUCAUCCACUCAAGGGCACGAGCUUCCAAGUCUCCUUGGGUAACUAAUUUUAAUACCUGACAACACUUUCUGUCAUGAUGUUUUCUCUUGCAAACAAUGCAACUGAGCUGCCUCUUGUCUUUUUUUUUUUUUUCCCAAACCUUAAGGAACAAGGUGAACAAUUGGUCUCAAUUCUUCAUAAAAUCGUCGGAACUCAUCACCAGCCUUUUAUGAAUCGCAUCCAAGCUAAGGAUGGCCUCUGUUUGUUUUGUUUGCAGUGACUGUCUUUAGAAGGAUUCCCCCUUACUUCAUCAUAUUUUUCAACCAGGGCUGAAUUUAUUGCUCCACAUAUUUAGAAACAUGUAUUUCUGCAAGGGAUGAAUGUAAAAUAAUAUGCCCUUUAGAGCCAGGGUCUACAAGGGAAUUUCUAGGCAGCGGGCUGAGAAAAGAGACCGCUCAAGGAGAAUAUUAAUGGCUGUGAUUACAAAGAGGGCGAGUAAUUGGUUCAAGGCGUAAGCAAAUAAAGAGGAAAAGCGAACAGAAGGGCUAACUGAGCCAUCAAAUGUGCCUCAAGAUUAGCAUCGUUCAGAAGGGACAUGCGUUAAAGGUGGAUUUUGCUUGAAAACAAACGCCACGUUGACUCUGUGUCAAGACGGUACUCAACUGUAAGAAGUGGGAGAGGAGGAAAGAGAGCCCUUCACGUGUGUCAAGAGAGUAUUCAAGGGGAGAGAAAAAUUACUGGAGAUCCCUACCCUAGGAGUCAGCUUUCAUCAAGGAAGAAACUCCUCUCCUAAGCCACUUCUAGCUGCUGCAGUGCUGUGACUUGACCUGUCUGUGAACGUCACAAGGAGAGACUGAACAAGAAGUGUGUGAACGGGAUGAGAGGUUCCAGAGUUGCCACAGCAUCCCUUUCAUUGGCCAAAGAAAAAUAUAAUAGCAUCCUGGAUUUAAGGAGUGGAAAGUCAGCUUCUAUCCUGCUAGGACGAGCCAAUAAGAUACCUCACAAGAAGAACGCUACUGGGAAGGGAAGGAAAAUUACAGGCAUCUGUCCAGUCUGCUACAUGCAUCAUGAAAGACUAGAGCACCUUGGAGUUGAGAGCUGGAUGAAACCCUUGUCUGCUAACAGGAAAAAUAAAUACAGGUGUUCCUUUUCCCAUCUUGGCGAAAGGUCUUGUUCCCUUAAUUCCAUUUUCAUUCUGUGUAAAAUGGAGGCAAAUAGUACUAUGUGCAAACCAACUAUGGAGAUGCCAAGUGUCUGUGCGUUUGUUAAAUCUAAAGGCACCGUUGCUGGAAGUGGGGAGAAAUAAAGCUGACCACUAUUCAUUCGUUGUCUCUGCCAUCUGUCUGGAAGGUUGCUCUUCUUAGCUGUUCUUGAGAGAAGAGGGCAGGAGCAGAAG